UUGGCUGUUGGCAGAUGUCGAAAGUUGUGGUGCUAAUUCCAGCUAGCUGUGGUUCAUUAAAGCGUUUAUUUAUUUUCAGACUGAACAGAUUCUCAAUGAAUACAAGAUCAGAGCCUUGGCAUGCCACCCAGACAAGCAUCAAGGCAACCCCAAAGCAGUGGCAGAGUUUCAAAAACUACAGGAAGCCAAAGAGGUGUUAAGCAAUGACACGAAAA